AAUAGUAGGAACAGUGAGGAAACUAAGCAAGAUCUUUUUGUCAAAGGAGGGUUGAUUUUUUUUCACAGGAAAGCAGUGGAAACUCCAUCUUUUGAAUCAUUUAGAACUUCUAUCUGCACUUCCUAAAGGAAAGGAUCUUCUGUCGAUCCCCCGGAGACAUGCAGUUUUGCUUCAUUACUGUUCAAGAAACUGAGAACGGCUGUUGACAGGAAGAAGCCCUAUUAGCAGAGACACCCUCCUAGAGGUGUGAGGGCUGAAGUGCAGAGGCAGAGCUGCAUGUGGGCUCCAGGACCAGAACAGCGAGGAUGCUGAAGGACAA
rnacentral:lncRNA from 14 species